rnacentral:rRNA from 1 species
UACGUAGGGUGCAAGCGUUGUCCGGAAUUAUUGGGCGUAAAGAGCUCGUAGGCGGUCUGUCACGUCGGCUGUGAAAACCCGAGGCUCAACCUCGGGCCUGCAGUCGAUACGGGCAAGCUAGAGUGUUGCAGGGGAGACUGGAAUUCCUGGUGUAGCGGUGAAAUGCGCAGAUAUCAGGAGGAACACCGAUGGCGAAGGCAGGUCUCUGGGCAGUAACUGACGCUGAGGAGCGAAAGCAUGGGGAGCGAACAGG